rnacentral:rRNA from 1 species
ACGAACGCUGGCGGCGUGCUUAACCCCUGCCAGUCGGACGGAAAGGCCCUGCUUUUGUGGGGUGCUCGAGUGGCGAACGGGUGAGUAACACGUGAGUAACCUGCCCUUUACUUUGGGAUAACUUCAGGAAACUGGGGCUAAUACCGGAUAGGAGCUCCUGCUGCCUGGUGGGGGUUGGAAAGUUUCGGCGGUUGGGGAUGGACUCGCGGCUUAUCAGCUUGUUGGGGGGGUAGUGGCUUACCAAGGCUUUGACGGGUAGCCGGCCUGAGAGGGUGACCGGCCACAUUGGGACUGAGAUACGGCCCAGACUCCUACGGGAGGCAGCAGUGGGGAAUAUUGCACAAUGGGCGGAAGCCUGAUGCAGCAACGCCGCGUGCGGGAUGACGGCCUUCGGGUUGUAAACCGCUUUCGCCUGUGACGAAGCGUGAGUGACGGUAAUGGGUAAAGAAGCACCGGCUAACUACGUG